rnacentral:misc_RNA from 1 species
GAUGAAGAACGCAGCGAAAUGCGAUAAGUAAUGUGAAUUGCAGAAUUCAGUGAAUCAUCGUAUCUUUGAACGCACAUUGCGCCCCCUGGUAUUCCGGGGGGCAUGCCUGUCCGAGCGUCAUUACAACCCUCAAGCUCAGCUUGGUGUUGGGCCCCGCCGCCCCGGCGGGCCCUAAAGUCAGUGGCGGUGCCGUCCGGCUCCGAGCGUAGUAAUUCUUCUCGCUCUGGAGGUCCGGUCGUGUGCUCGCCAGCAACCCCCAAUUUUUUUCAGGUUGACCUCGGAUCAGGUAGGGAUACCCGCUGAACUUAAGCAUAUCAAUAAGCGGAGGA